rnacentral:lncRNA from 1 species
UGCAAAAGGGCAUGCGGAACUUGCUGUGCCCGCUGCAACUGCGUGCCUCCGGGCACUUCGGGCAACGAAGAUGUUUGUCCUUGUUACGCUAAUAUGACUACUCACGGUGGCAAACACAAGUGCCCUUAAUUAACAUCUUCAUCAUAUAUAUAUAUAUAUAUAUAUAUAUAUUAUUUUUGUUUGUCACCUAAAUUAAUGUUGUUAAAAGUGAAUAGAUGAGAACGAUGAAGUUUGUCUAAUUUUUACGUUUGUUUGUGUGUUUUUUUUUGGGGUGCAACUUUUCUUGGGCUAUAUAUAUGUAUGUAAGUUACUGCAAAAUUGUUGAAAUAAACAUGUGAUAUGGUUUAUGCUGUUUCAUUACUUAAAUGAAUAUCUAUGAUUAUAAUCU